ensembl:miRNA cin-mir-126 cin-mir-126
UUUCGAUGCUGCCUUGUUACCUACGGUACCAGGUAGAAAGUAUGUCAUCUCGUACCGUGAGUAAUAAAGCAUUCUCGGGAG